CCCUAGCCCAGAUAGAAGUGAAAAUCCUUUCUAGUCCUGAACUUGUUUCAGGAUCCUGAAACAAGUUCAGGACUAGAAAGAUUGUAACGUAUAGCUGGAAAUAGC
rnacentral:sRNA from 1 species